rnacentral:rRNA from 1 species
CCUACGGGAGGCAGCAGUGAGGAAUAUUGGUCAAUGGGCUUACGCCUGAACCAGCCAAGUCGCGUGAGGGAAGACUGCCCUAUGGGUUGUAAACCUCUUUUGUCAGGGAGCAACGCCGGCUACGUGUAGCCGGACUGAGAGUACCUGAAGAAAAAGCAUCGGCUAACUCCGUGCCAGCAGCCGCGGUAAUACGGAGGAUCCGAGCGUUAUCCGGAUUUAUUGGGUUUAAAGGGUGCGUAGGCGGUUUGAUAAGUUAGAGGUGAAAUGUCGGGGCUCAACCCCGAAACUGCCUCUAAUACUGUUGGACUAGAGAAUAGUUGCGGUAGGCGGAAUGUAUGGUGUAGCGGUGAAAUGCUUAGAGAUCAUACAGAACACCGAUUGCGAAGGCAGCUUACCAAACUAUAUCUGACGUUGAGGCACGAAAGCGUGGGUAGCAAACAGGAUUAGAUACCCCAGUAGUC